rnacentral:rRNA from 1 species
UACAGGACUCGUUGGUGACCAGCGGAGGGUCAUUACCGAGUUUACAACUCCCAAACCCAAUGUGAACGUUACCAAACUGUUGCCUCGGCGGGGUCACGCCCCGGGUGCGUCGCAGCCCCGGAACCAGGCGCCCGCCGGAGGAACCAACCAAACUCUUUCUGUAGUCCCCUCGCGGACGUAUUUCUUACAGCUCUGAGCAAAAAUUCAAAAUGAAUCAAAACUUUCAACAACGGAUCUCUUGGUUCUGGCAUCGAUGAAGAACGCAGCGAAAUGCGAUAAGUAAUGUGAAUUGCAGAAUUCAGUGAAUCAUCGAAUCUUUGAACGCACAUUGCGCCCGCCAGUAUUCUGGCGGGCAUGCCUGUCCGAGCGUCAUUUCAACCCUCGAACCCCUCCGGGGGAUCGGCGUUGGGGAUCGGGACCCCUCACACGGGUGCCGGCCCCGAAAUACAGUGGCGGUCUCGCCGCAGCCUCUCCUGCGCAGUAGUUUGCACAACUCGCACCGGGAGCGCGGCGCGUCCACGUCCGUAAAACACCCAACUUUCUGAAAUGUUGACCUCGGAUCAGGUAGGAAUACCCGCUGAACUUAAGCAUAUCAAUAAGCGGAGGA